GAUGAACGCUGGCGGCGUGCCUAAUACAUGCAAGUCGAGCGAACGGACGAGAAGCUUGCUUUUCUGAUGUUAGCGGCGGACGGGUGAGUAACACGUGGAUAACCUACCUAUAAGACUGGGAUAACUUCGGGAAACCGGAGCUAAUACCGGAUAAUAUUUUGAACCGCAUGGUUCAAAAGUGAAAGACGGUCUUGCUGUCACUUAUAGAUGGAUCCGCGCUGCAUUAGCUAGUUGGUAGGGUAACGGCUUACCAAGGCAACGAUGCAUAGCCGACCUGAGAGGGUGAUCGGCCACACUGGAACUGAGACACGGUCCAGACUCCUACGGGAGGCAGCAGUAGGGAAUCUUCCGCAAUGGGCGAAAGCCUGACGGAGCAACGCCGCGUGAGUGAUGAAGGUCUUCGGAUCGUAAAACUCUGUUAUUAGGGAAGAACAUAUGUGUAAGUAACUGUGCACAUCUUGACGGUACCUAAUCAGAAAGCCACGGCUAACUACGU
rnacentral:rRNA from 1 species